UACGUAGGGCGCAAGCGUUAAUCGGAAUUACUGGGCGUAAAGCGUGCGCAGGCGGUUUUGUAAGUCUGACGUGAAAUCCCCGGGCUUAACCUGGGAAUUGCGUUGGAGACUGCAAGGCUGGAGUCUGGCAGAGGGGGGUAGAAUUCCACGUGUAGCAGUGAAAUGCGUAGAGAUGUGGAGGAACACCGAUGGCGAAGGCAGCCCCCUGGGUCAAGACUGACGCUCAUGCACGAAAGCGUGGGGAGCAAACAGG
rnacentral:rRNA from 1 species